GACGAACGCUGGCGGCGUGCCUAAUACAUGCAAGUCGAGCGCGGCGGCGGGUGGGUGAUUAACGCGUGGGUAACCUGCCCUUAAGUCUGGGAUACCAUAUGUAAACAGAUGCUAAUACCGGAUACUAAAGGAUGGCCCUGCGAUGCGUUAGCUAGUUGGUAAGGUAACGGCUUAGCAAGGCGAGGAUGCAUAGCCGAGGUGAGAGACUGAUCGGCCACACUGGGACUGAGACAUGGCCCAAACUCCUACGGGAGGCAGCAGUAGGGAAUCGUCCACAAUGGACGAAAGUCUGAUGGAGCAACGCCGCGUGAGUGAAGAAGGUUUUCGGAUCGUAAAGCUCUGUUGUUGGUGAAGCGGUAAUCAACCAGAAAGCCACGGCUAACUACGUGCCAGCAGCCGCGGUAAUAC
rnacentral:rRNA from 1 species